GGCAAGCCCGAGAGGCUCUGCCUUGGCCGGCGCCCAGCCGCCACCUGGCUUCUUCAUCUGUCCUCACGCACCGCACUGGGUGGGUGCCAUUCUUUCUAUGCCGCCGGCGCGGGGGUGAGAGGCGCCAGGAGUGGCUUCUGUCGUCCGGGCGCCAGCUUGGUGGCGCCAUGCUCCACAGCUGGGGUUCGACGGUACGGGAGCACUUUAUGCGUCCUGAAGUCCCCUCUAGAAAGAGCUAGGAGGAGCUCUAGAGAUCACCUUCAACCCCUAUGGGCGUUUCACAGAAAAUUGAAGCGCAGAGAGGGUAAAAGAUUUGUGCAAGAAACAACCAGAAUUUCGGUCUGGUCCCUUUCCUGAUGCGAGUCAGGGCCGAGACUAGGGUCAAAUCCCAGCCAGAUGUUUGCACUAUUGCGAUCAUUUGCUGGACAGAUCGGCACCCUGCCAUUUAGCAGCAGAGUAACAGGCAAUCCUCAUCUUUCCACCCUCAGAACUUAGCUCAUCUUGCAUGGAAACCACUUCGUUUGGGAACCCCAGCCAGCUGUCCUGGUCUCUCCCAGUUUGGGCUAGGUUGCUUCAGGUCUCAGCUGGCCUCCCCUGCAGUCCAUCCUUUAACACUUUCAAGAGUAGCUGCUUUUGAUUUUUUUCUUUCCCAGUUGGUGUCAUCAAGGGGUCCUUCUGCUUAGAAGCCUUCAGGGACUCUCUGUCCUUAAAGUUAGGAGUUUAAAUCAAAGCACUCUCAGGCUCCCCCAGUGAGAUCCUUCCCGCAUUCCCUUUUCUGGGGCUAUGUUGGCCUUCCAGAAUCCUGCCCAUCUUUCAGGGCCCAGGAUAACUGCCACCUCCUCUCAGUUCUUCCCAGAUUUCCUGAGUUGAGAUGAAUCUUUUCUACCCCGUGUCCUCAAAGCAUUUGUCAAACUCCUGCACAGUUCUCUAGAGCUGGCCUUUCCUGUGUCUGCCCUAGGUCAGUUUCCUGUGUCCAAGGUGUAAUAGUAAUUUUGCUGAAUGAUCAUCAAGGGGUUCAAGAGCACCUGCAAGUGCUUACGCAGAGCUUCAGUAGGUAGCCAGGCCAUUGCUCCCUCCAGACCAUGACCCGUGGGCCCCCAGUGACACACCUGCGCUCCCCCACCUCCUUUGGGAAGUAAAUUGUGUUCUCACUCCCAGGUGCCCUCUCCUUGCCUGGGGCUCUCAGCAGGUGUUCUGUUCUAAUCUGAGGAGGGCCCUGGGGUCACUGGGGACUCUAGAACACCAGGUGGUGUGCUCUUUUGCUGCCAGCUUAGUUUAUUAGGGGUGUGAUGGGGACACCUGAGCCCUGGAUGGGGCUGGUCUUGGCCUGGGAGGGGUCAUCCAAGGGUGCUUUUCUAGAGCUGGGGAAGCAGGAAAUGGAGGCUACUUAUUCAGAAAGGUAGUAUUUCAAAGGUGUUUUCAAACACUACCCCCUCCCUACUGUCUAGCCUUGUAACCUGAGCCUGUCCCAUGACCUUUGACCUCUCGCUCUGGAGCCAAAGAGCUGGGAGUUGGGGGCACCUCUGCCUUGAGGCCUGUACUCAGUCCCUAGCCCCCAGCCCAGCCCUGUCACCCAGCUGGUCAAGGUUGGGCCUGGUAAGCAGAAAAACCUGUCGGUUUGAGGUUUCCGUGUGAACAUUCCAGAGAAAGUGGUGGGCGGGUGGCAGCUGCCUGUAAAGGACCCGCUGCUGUUGAGGAAGGCCCAUGGCUGCCCACCCACCCUCCCCAGUUUAUUGCAGGCCCGCUGUGGGUUGGUGAGGGUCUCCCUCUCUCAGGCGGGAGUGUCAGGCCAGUGGGGUAGAGAGUACAUUUUCACAUGCUUGUUCCUGGUGAUCCCAGCCUUCCUGGGGCAUCCAUUCCCCCAAGGAAAGGGAGGAGGCAAACUGACCCAGCUCCAUGUCACCCAGCCAGUGGGUCACUCAGCCAGUGGGUGGCCCAGUCCGGAUUCCUUCCUGGAAUCUGCCCUCCACUGACCCUAGUGCAAUGCUGCUGUAUUUCGUCACUGCCAUUGUGGUUGGGGACCAAGGGCCAAAGGGGUGUGGCUUGAAGCAGCAGGGACACUGCACUGGUGGUGGUGGCGGUGUUGAAUGGGUUAAGGUGGGAGGUGGCUUGUGUUCCAUAACCGCACCUGGCCCAGUAUCGGUCACGUGGCCAGGGUUUCACCUGCCCCGCUGAGCAGGGACAAUCAAGCCGCUUGUUCCACAGCCUGUCUCCAUAGUGACAGGAGUGUGCCUGGGGGAGGUCACCAGGGCAAAUUCCUGCCAGCCGGCUGGGUGGGGCAGGGGUGUCCACGGUGCUGUGGCCCAUGGGGGUUCCCCCAGGCCCCUUGAGGUUUCCAGGUGGGGCUCUUUCCAGGGACCCAUCUGUGUCAAUCCACCCAGCGCCGCCUCCUGUCCUUCCCCC
rnacentral:lncRNA from 1 species